GGCGGUAUAGCUCAGUUGGCUAGAGCAUGCGGUUCAUACCCGCAGUGUCGUUGGUUCGAGUCCGACUACCGCCACCA
rnacentral:tRNA from 1 species